UGCUAUCUGCAGUCGAGCGAUGAUGAGGAGCUUGCUCCUCUGAUUUAGCGGCGGACGGGUGAGUAACACGUGGGUAAUCUGCCUGUAAGACGGGGAUAACUCCGGGAAACCGGGGCUAAUACCGGAUAAUAAAAAGAAACGCAUGUUUCUUUUUUGAAAGUCGGUUUCGGCUGACACUUACAGAUGAGCCCGCGGCGCAUUAGCUAGUUGGUGAGGUAACGGCUCACCAAGGCGACGAUGCGUAGCCGACCUGAGAGGGUGAUCGGCCACACUGGGACUGAGACACGGCCCAGACUCCUACGGGAGGCAGCAGUAGGGAAUCUUCGGCAAUGGGCGAAAGCCUGACCGAGCAACGCCGCGUGAGCGAUGAAGGCCUUCGGGUCGUAAAGCUCUGUUGUUAGAGAAGAACAAGUACGAGAGUAACUGCUCGUACCUUGACGGUACCUAACCAGAAAGCCACGGCUAACUACGUGCCAGCAGCCGCGGUAAUACGUAGGUGGCAAGCGUUAUCCGGAAUUAUUGGGCGUAAAGCGCGCGCAGGCGGUCUCUUAAGUCUGAUGUGAAAGCCCACGGCUCAACCGUGGAGGGUCAUUGGAAACUGGGAGACUUGAGUGCAGGAGAGAAAAGUGGAAUUCCACGUGUAGCGGUGAAAUGCGUAGAGAUGUGGAGGAACACCAGUGGCGAAGGCGGCUUUUUGGCCUGUAACUGACGCUGAGGCGCGAAAGCGUGGGGAGCAAACAGGAUUAGAUACCCUGGUAGUCCACGCCGUAAACGAUGAGUGCUAGGUGUUGGGGGGUUCCACCCUCAGUGCUGAAGUUAACACAUUAAGCACUCCGCCUGGGGAGUACGACCGCAAGGUUGAAACUCAAAGGAAUUGACGGGGGCCCGCACAAGCAGUGGAGCAUGUGGUUUAUUUCGAAGCAACGCGAGAACCUUACCAGGUCUUGACAUCCUCUGACCACUCUAGAGAUAGAGCUUUCCCC
rnacentral:rRNA from 1 species